UACGUAGGGGGCCAGCGUUGCUCGGAAUUACUGGGCGUAAAGGGCGCGUAGGCGGUGCGCUAAGUCAGAUGUGAAAGCCCUGGGCUUAACCCGGGAACUGCAUUUGAUACUGGCGCGCUUGAAUCCGGGAGAGGUUGGUGGAAUUCCCAGUGUAGAGGUGAAAUUCGUAGAGAUUGGGAAGAACACCGGUGGCGAAGGCGGCCAACUGGACCGGUAUUGACGCUGAGGCGCGAAAGCGUGGGGAGCAAACAGG
rnacentral:rRNA from 1 species